rnacentral:rRNA from 1 species
UACAGAGGUCUCAAGCGUUGUUCGGAUUCAUUGGGCGUAAAGGGUGCGUAGGCGGUCGUGCAAGUCGGAUGUGAAAUCUCAGGGCUCAACCCUGAAACUGCAUUCGAUACUGCGUGGCUAGAGUGCUGGAGAGGAGACUGGAAUUUACGGUGUAGCAGUGAAAUGCGUAGAUAUCGUAAGGAAGACCAGUGGCGAAGGCGGGGUCUCUGGACAGUUCCUGACGCUGAGGCACGAAGGUCAGGGGAGCAAACGGG